rnacentral:rRNA from 1 species
UCUACGCGUACGGGUGUUGAGAGACAUCGCCCGGAGAUGGAUUCUGAGACACGAAUCCAGACCCCACGGGGUGCAGCAGGCGCGAAAACUUGGCAAUGCGAGAAAUCGUGACCAGGGAACUCCAAGUGCAUCGGGUAAGACCGAUGCUUUUCUUGACUCUUCAAAGGUCUUGGAAUAAGGGGUGGGUAAGGACGGUGCCAGCCGCCGCGGUAAUACCGGCGCCCCAAGUGGUAGUCGCUUUUAUUGGGCCUAAAACGUCCGUAGCCGGUCUGGUACAUUCGUGGGUAAAUCAACCAGCUCAACUGGUUGAAUUCUGCGAGCACGGCCAGACUUGGGACCGGGUGAGGUGUGGGGUACUCUCAGGGUAGGGGUAAAAUCCUGUCAUCCUGAGAGGACCACCUGUUGCGAAGGCGCCACACUAGAACGGAUCCGACGGUCAGGGACGAAGCCUAGGGGCACGAACCGGAUUAGAUACCCGGGUAGUCCUAGGUGUAAACGCUGUGGACUUGAUGUUGGGGGCGCUCCGAGCGCACUCAGUGUCGAAGCGAAGGUGAUAAGUCCACUGCCUGGGGAGUACGGUCGCAAGGCUGAAACUUAAAGGAAUUGGCGGGGGAGCACCGCAACCUGAGGAUUGUGCGGUUUAAUUGGAUUCAACGCCGGAAAACUCACCAUAGCCGACGGACAUAUGAAGGCCAGCGUAAUGAGCUUGCUGGAUUGUUCGAGAGGUAGUGCAUGGCCGUCGUCAGUUCGUACCGUAAGGCGUUCUGUUAAGUCAGAUAACG